rnacentral:rRNA from 1 species
CCUACGGGAGGCAGCAGUGAGGAAUAUUGGUCAAUGGGCGUAAGCCCGAACCAGCCAAGUCGCGUGCGGGAUGAAGGUUCUAUGGAUCGUAAACCUCUUUUAUAAGGGAAUAAAGUGUGGGACGUGUCCUGUUUUGUAUGUACCUUAUGAAUAAGGAUCGGCUAACUCCGUGCCAGCAGCCGCGGUAAUACGGAGGAUCCGAGCGUUAUCCGGAUUUAUUGGGUUUAAAGGGUGCGUAGGCGGCCUUUUAAGUCAGCGGUGAAAGUCUGUGGCUCAACCAUAGAAUUGCCGUUGAAACUGGGAGGCUUGAGUAUGUUUGAGGCAGGCGGAAUGCGUGGUGUAGCGGUGAAAUGCUUAGAUAUCACGCAGAACCCCGAUUGCGAAGGCAGCCUGCCAAGCCAUGACUGACGCUGAUGCACGAAAGCGUGGGGAUCAAACAGGAUUAGAUACCCGAGUAGUC